AACGCGAAGAACCUUACCAAGGUUUGACAUGGACCGAAAACUCAUGGAGACAUGGGGUCCUUCGGGGCGGUUCACAGGUGGUGCAUGGCUGUCGUCAGCUCGUGUCGUGAGAUGUUGGGUUAAGUCCCGCAACGAGCGCAACCCUUAUCCUAUGUUGCCAGCGGGUCAUGCCGGGGACUCAUGGGAGACUGCCGGGGUCAACUCGGAGGAAGGUGGGGAUGACGUCAAGUCAUCAUGCCCCUUAUGUCUUGGGCUGCAAACAUGCUACAAUGGCCGGUACAGAGGGCUGCGAACCCGUGAGGGUAAGCGAAUCCCGGAAAGCCGGUCUCAGUUCGGAUCGGGGUCUGCAACUCGGCCCCGUGAAGCCGGAGUCGCUAGUAAUCGCGGAUCAGCAACGCCGCGGUGAAUACGUUCCCGGGCCUUGUACACACCGCUCGCGA
rnacentral:rRNA from 1 species